rnacentral:rRNA from 1 species
ACUCAAAUGAAUUGACGGGGGCCCGCACAAGCGGUGGAUCAUGUGGUUUAAUUCGACGCAACGCGAAAAACCUUACCUGGGCUCGAACGGCUAGUAGUAGAAUCCUGGAAACAGGAGACGACCCGUAAAGUCGGAUGCUAGUCGAGGUGCUGCAUGGCUGUCGUCAGCUCGUGUCGUGAGAUGUUGGGUUAAGUCCCGCAACGAGCGCAACCCUUAUCCCAUGUUGCUAAUGCCGCAAGGCAUGCACUCUUGGGAGACUGCUUCGGAUAACGGAGAGGAAGGUGGGGACGACGUCAAGUCAUCAUGGCCUUUAUGUCCAGGGCUACACAUGUGAUACAAUGGCCGGCACAGCAGGAUGCAAUACCGCAAGGUGGAGCCAAUCCCUAAAGCCGGCCCCAGUUCAGAUCGUGGGCUGCAAUUCGCCCACGUGAAGUCGGAAUCGCUAGUAAUCGCAGAUCAGCAGGCUGCGGUGAAUACGUUCCCGGGCCUUGUACACACCGCCCGU